AUGCAGUCGAGCGGUAGAGAGGUGCUUGCACCUCUUGAGAGCGGCGGACGGGUGAGUAAAGCCUAGGAAUCUGCCUGGUAGUGGGGGAUAACGCUCGGAAACGGACGCUAAUACCGCAUACGUCCUACGGGAGAAAGCAGGGGACCUUCGGGCCUUGCGCUAUCAGAUGAGCCUAGGUCGGAUUAGCUAGUUGGUGAGGUAAUGGCUCACCAAGGCGACGAUCCGUAACUGGUCUGAGAGGAUGAUCAGUCACACUGGAACUGAGACACGGUCCAGACUCCUACGGGAGGCAGCAGUGGGGAAUAUUGGACAAUGGGCGAAAGCCUGAUCCAGCCAUGCCGCGUGUGUGAAGAAGGUCUUCGGAUUGUAAAGCACUUUAAGUUGGGAGGAAGGGCAUUAACCUAAUACGUUAGUGUUUUGACGUUACCGACAGAAUAAGCACCGGCUAACUCUGUGCCAGCAGCCGCGGUAAUACAGAGGGUGCAAGCGUUAAUCGGAAUUACUGGGCGUAAAGCGCGCGUAGGUGGUUCGUUAAGUUGGAUGUGAAAUCCCCGGGCUCAACCUGGGAACUGCAUUCAAAACUGUCGAGCUAGAGUAUGGUAGAGGGUGGUGGAAUUUCCUGUGUAGCGGUGAAAUGCGUAGAUAUAGGAAG
rnacentral:rRNA from 1 species